rnacentral:rRNA from 1 species
UACGAAGGGGGCUAGCGUUGUUCGGAUUUACUGGGCGUAAAGCGCACGUAGGCGGAUCGUUAAGUCGGGGGUGAAAUCCUGGAGCUCAACUCCAGAACUGCCUUCGAUACUGGCGAUCUUGAGUCCGGAAGAGGUGAGUGGAACUCCUAGUGUAGAGGUGGAAUGCGCAGAUAUCAGGAAGAACACCCGUGGCUAAGGCGGCUCUCUAGUACGGUACUGACGCUGAGACGCGAAAGCGUGGGGAGCGAACAGG